UUUCAGAGGGACAGUAAGUAAAUUCUUUAGUAGCACCUUCAGUACUGAGCAUUUUUCUGAUAGUGUGUCACUUUUCUGUUUUUUCAUUAGAUCAGGAGAACAAGCCUUGGCAUUCACUAUUUCAAGAAAUUAUGAACUGAAGUAUAAAAUUGCAUAAGCCAGAGAAAGGAAGAAUGCUGACACAUAUGGCCUGAUAGUUGGCAACGAUGUCGAUAAGAGGCUGGCAUUUGAAAUUGCCAGCUGUCUAGCCAGCUACUAUAUAACUUGAAUAGAAACUAUGAAUAUUGGUUGGUUAGCAAAGCCAAGGAACAAAAGCUAUGGCAGCUGAAGUGGUUGUUCUGAUUCCAGGAUAUUUUUCCUGGGUUUCAUCACCAGAAACUGCCUCUUCAUCUGAGCAGCAACGUGGCACCUGUUAUUGUUUGACAAAGAUUAAGGACAUGUUCUUCAGCCAACAGCCAGAACUUAAAAUCUGCUGGGAUAGAAUUAGAGACCAUUUCAUUCAUAGCUGAGGAAAAUGAAAUUUCCACUUUACCUGGUGCCUUGUGGAGGGAGUGCACUAAUGCUUCCAGGAACGUGUGAGUGAAAAAGAGGUUCAACACAAACUCAUGGUUAUGGCGAGUGACCCAACGUGAUCAGAGGGGGCAAGAGCCACAGAGGACUCAUGACGGGCUAUACCAUGUUGCGAAAUGGGGGAGUGGGGAAUGGAGGUCAAACCUGUAUGUUGCGCUGGUCCAACCGUAUCCGACUCUCAUGGCUCAGUUUCAUUCUCUUUAUCAUUCUGGUGUUCUUCCCCCUCAUUGCCCACUAUUACCUCACAACUCUGGACGAGACUGACGAGGCGGGCAAGCGUAUCUUUGGCCCAAGGGCUGGGAGCGAGCUCUGCGAAGUAAAGCAUGUGUUGGACCUCUGUCGCAUUCGUGAGUCUGUGAGUGAAGAGCUCUUACAGUUGGAAGCCAAGCGGCAAGAGCUGAAUAGUGAAAUUGCCAAGCUAAAUCUUAAGAUAGAAGCCUGCAAGAAGAGUAUCGAGAACGCCAAGCAGGACCUGCUGCAGCUCAAGAAUGUCAUUAGCCAGACUGAGCAUUCCUACAAAGAGCUGAUGGCUCAGAAUCAGCCCAAACUUUCUCUGCCUAUACGAUUGCUCCCUGAGAAGGACGAUGCUGGCUUUCCUCCCCCAAAGGUUCCUCGGGGUUGCCGGCUGCACAAUUGUUUUGAUUAUUCUCGUUGUCCUCUCACCUCUGGUUUUCCGGUCUAUGUUUAUGACAGUGACCAGUUUGCCUUUGGCAGCUACCUGGACCCCUUGGUCAAGCAGGCUUUUCAGGCUACAGCACGAGCCAAUGUUUAUGUUACAGAAAAUGCAGACAUCGCCUGCCUAUAUGUGAUAUUAGUGGGAGAAAUGCAGGAGCCCCUAGUGCUGCGGCCUGCUGACCUUGAGAAGCAGCUGUAUUCCCUACCAAAUUGGCGGACAGAUGGACAUAAUCAUGUCAUCAUCAAUCUGUCCUGGAAGUCGGACACACAGAAUUUACUGUACAAUGUUAGUACAGGCCGGGCCAUGGUGGCUCAGUCCACUUUCUAUGCUGCCCAGUACAGACCUGGCUUUGACUUGGUAGUGUCACCACUUGUCCAUGCCAUGUCAGAGCCCAACUUCAUGGAAAUCCCACCACAGGUGCCAGUUAAGCGGAAAUAUCUUUUCACGUUCCAGGGUGAGAAGAUCGAAUCCCUGAGAUCCAGCCUUCAGGAGGCCCGCUCCUUUGAAGAAGAAAUAGAGGGUGACCCUCCAGCUGACUAUGACGAUCGGAUCAUUGCCACCCUAAAGGCUGUACAGGACAGCAAGUUAGAUCAGGUCCUGGUAGAAUUUACCUGCAAAAACCAGCUGAAGCCCAGUCUGCCUACUGAGUGGGCACUGUGUGGGGAGCGGGAGGACCGCCUUGAAUUACUGAAGCUUUCCACCUUUGCCCUUAUCAUCACUCCUGGGGACCCCCACUUGGUUAUUUCAUCUGGGUGUGCAACACGGCUCUUUGAAGCUCUGGAAGUUGGCGCUGUCCCAGUGGUGUUGGGGGAGCAAGUACAGCUUCCAUACCAGGACAUGCUGCAGUGGAAUGAGGCUGCCCUGGUGGUACCCAAGCCACGUGUUACUGAGGUUCACUUCCUGUUACGAAGUCUCUCCGAUAGUGAUCUACUGGCUAUGAGGCGACAAGGCCGCUUUCUCUGGGAGACUUACUUCUCUACCGCUGACAGUAUUUUUAAUACCGUGCUGGCUAUGAUUAGGACUCGAAUACAGAUCCCAGCUGCUCCUAUCCGGGAGGAGGUAGCAGCUGAGAUCCCCCAUCGUUCAGGCAAGGCGGCUGGAACGGACCCCAACAUGGCCGACAAUGGGGACCUGGACCUAGGGCCCGUAGAGACAGAGCCGCCCUAUGCCUCACCCAGAUACCUCCGCAACUUUACUCUGACUGUCACUGACUUUUACCGCAGCUGGAACUCUGCUCCGGGGCCUUUCCAUCUUUUCCCCCACACACCCUUUGACCCUGUGUUGCCCUCAGAGGCCAAAUUCUUGGGCUCAGGGACUGGAUUUCGGCCUAUUGGUGGUGGAGCUGGGGGUUCUGGCAAGGAGUUUCAGGCAGCGCUUGGAGGCAAUGUGCCACGAGAACAAUUCACAGUGGUGAUGUUGACUUACGAGCGAGAAGAAGUGCUGAUGAACUCCUUGGAGAGACUGAAUGGCCUCCCUUACCUGAACAAGGUAGUAGUGGUGUGGAAUUCUCCCAAGCUGCCAUCAGAGGACUUGCUGUGGCCUGACAUUGGCGUCCCCAUCAUGGUAAUAGAAAGACGGGCAGUUUGUUUUACUGCAUGA